AGAGAAAGCCAGAAGUCAGGGAUACAGAAUACAGGGAAGUCAAAAUCAAAGCCAAAGUAAAAAAACAGAAGAAACUUGAAUCAGGAACGCGCUCUCAGACAACCACAAGGGAAACCACGACAGGGCACUGAGCAGGAUGAGAACUGGGCCUAAAUACCCCUCCUCUAGAUCUGAUAGGCUGUAACCGGGCUUUGACCCUUUGAAAGGC